AUGUUGCUGCUCCACGUCGUUAUUCUGGCUUUGGUUUUGUCUUAUGGAUGUGCACAAAUACAUCUGAGACAAACUCAGUUGUCCGUUACCAGGGCAGAAAAUAAAACUGCACGUAUAGUCUGUGAGGCUUCUGGCAUUCAGAACUUCAGGAGUGCUGUUAUACAUUGGUAUCGACACAGAUCUGGUGAAGCUCCGGAGCGGAUUCUGUACAUCUCAACUAUAAAAGUUGAAUUUGACAAAGACACUGAUAAGAAGAAGUUUGACUGUGAAAAGAAGUCUGACCAGUCCAUCUCUACCCUAGUAGUAAAUACAAUAACUCCUAAUGACAGAGCUAUCUAUUAUUGUGCUUUUUGGGUUGGCACAGUGUUUGAAAGCUGUAGACAGCCUGCACGAAAACUUCACUCUAUUCUGAGCCACAGACUUUCAAAAGUGUAUAAAAAUGACAGCUGUCUCCUGGCUUCAGCUCAGAGGCAAGAUUAA